CUCCACCAUGUGCUCCACCUCGUGCUGGACCUUAAGAGAUACCAAUUAUGUGGCUGACACUGUGUCCUAGAGGCUGGAAUGGGAACACAUAGGGCGAGAUUGAUUGUUAAUUGCUAGCAUGAACCGCGUGGGCUUCUCAGGGUCUAGAGUGGAGAGAAAUCGGUAAGAAUUGGUGGCACGCCUGUCAGAACUCCCCAAACCAAGCUAAGCAGAAAUUAACCAAUCAGUAGAGCAGCCUUCGGAGUAAGGGCUAAAAUGAUGUCCUCAGGGCCUGGUUUUGCUUUUCUUCCAUGUCAGUUUGCUUCUUUGGGUCUGGCUGCAUUCCCAGACAGGCCAUGCUGUCGUGGUAGCAAGGUGACACGACACAGGGUCAGGUCCAGCAGGAAAGAAUGCUCUCCUGUGUCCCCACUUCCUCCAGAAGCCACACUCACCCAUCCCACCUGGCUUGGUCCUCAUGUCUAUCCCAGAAUCCAUUAAUGGGGCCAGGGGACUA
rnacentral:lncRNA from 1 species